rnacentral:rRNA from 1 species
GACGAACCGUGCGAACGUUGUUCGGAAUCACUGGGCUUAAAGGGCGCGUAGGCGGGUUUGCAAGUCCGGGGUGAAAUCCCACAGCUCAACUGUGGAACUGCCUCGGAUACUGUGAGUCUCGAGGGUGGCAGGGGUAUGCGGAACUAUCGGUGGAGCGGUGAAAUGCGUUGAUAUCGAUAGGAACUCCGGUGGCGAAGGCGGCAUACUGGUCCACUUCUGACGCUGAGGCGCGAAAGCCAGGGGAGCAAACGGG